rnacentral:RNase_P_RNA from 1 species
UGAGUAGGAUAGAUGAUCGCUGCCAUGCAAACGAAAGGGCAUGGGAGAGGAAAGUCCGGGCUUCACAGGGCAGGAUGCCAGAUAACGUCUGGCGGAGGCAACUCCCGAGACAGUGCAACAGAAAUAUACCGCGUUAGCAAUGAGGCGGAGUCUCCGCCUCACUGAUCCGUAAGGGUGGAAAGGCAGUGUAAGAGACUACCGUGCCGGUGGUAACACCGGUAGCCAUGUAAACCUCAUCCGAAGCAAGACCGAAAAGAAAGCCAUGAGCCGGCCCGGUUCGCUUUCAGGUGGGUCGCUUGAGGCUGUCGGCGACGACAGUCCUAGAUAGAUGAUCAUCCACGACAUAACCCGGCUUACAGUCCUACUCUUAAA